GUCGGCGACGAUACCUUAUUGAAAGCACCGGUUGUCGUCUGAUCAACGAAGUUAAGCAACGUUGGGUCCAGCUAGUACUUGCAUGGGUAACCUGCUGGGAAUACCGGGUGUUGCUGGUU
rnacentral:rRNA from 1 species